UGAGGAAUAUUGGUCAAUGGGCGCUAGCCUGAACCAGCCAAGUAGCGUGAAGGAUGACUGCCCUAUGGGUUGUAAACUUCUUUUAUAUGGGAAUAAAGUGCAGUAUGUAUACUGCUUUGCAUGUACCUUAUGAAUAAGGAUCGGCUAACUCCGUGCCAGCAGCCGCGGUAAUACGGAGGAUCCGAGCGUUAUCCGGAUUUAUUGGGUUUAAAGGGAGCGUAGGCGGGUUGUUAAGUCAGUUGUGAAAGUUUGCGGCUCAACCGUAAAAUUGCAGUUGAUACUGGCAUCCUUGAGUACAGUAGAGGUAGGCGGAAUUCGUGGUGUAGCGGUGAAAUGCUUAGAUAUCACGAAGAACUCCGAUUGCGAAGGCAGCCUGCUGGACUGUAACUGACGCUGAUGC
rnacentral:rRNA from 1 species